AUGACCUCCGGCAACGAAGUCAUUUCUCAGACCCCCUGCUUCUGCUUCCUUCACUUUAAAGUGCGAUGAUAUUAACUACAGAACCACAGGCUUGCUGGGUAAAAGCAACAUGAGGCUACAGGUUAUAACUGACAAGGGAGCCUGGCACAUAACAGGUACACAACAAGAAGUAGUGACUGUUGCUAUCAGCCAUCUUCAUUGGGCAGCUCCUGGAUGGUCUCUGCCCCAGAAUCCAUCUUAGAAGAAGCCUGCCUCUCUUUGGUCAUGAAGACAGCUGUAGGUGCUUCUCAAAGGUCUUCUGGAUCCAUGCUGACAGACAAGGAACCCUGAGGCUCAUCUAGAAAGUUCUUCUGACUUUCCAAGGAGGGUCGUGGCAUGUAGUGUGAGACUCGUUGACCACCAAAGAACCCACCACCCUCAGCACAGGCUGGAAGACUGUCUGCAAACUGAUCAAAUCCCGUGUGGCCCAGUAUAACGUGAUGGCAGUGGGUACCAUUGCAGGAGGCUCACUGCAGACCUAGCUGGCCAGCCUACAGCACAUCUCCAGUGAGUCCUGAGUAAAAGGACCUCAGCCUGCUCCAGGCAGUGUAUCUGUUGUCACAUGGACAGCGCCGGCUACCCACCACCUAAUGUGUGAUUACACCGGAAACUGCCCAGUCCUCAGCAGAACAAUGAAGAAAAAUUUGGUUCCUCGGCCUACCUGCCGGAGUCACGGGCGCAGGGGGCCUAUAUAAGUCCAUAAUUGUUCAUCUUCUGCCCACACGGUUUUGAACAAUGAACUAGGGAGAAAACAAAACCAGAGCGGUUUUCAUUGCUGAAAAGGACAGAACUGACUUGUUUGCUUAAUAAGCCCAGAUGGUGGAGCGUCACUUCUAAGAGGAAAAGCUACACUGCCAGGCCAAGGAGUCUUGGCUGGGCAAAGAAAUCCCAGGACUCCACACAGAGAUCCCCUGCAAUUGAGAGGCUCUGUGGUCAGUGAGAGGAAACCACCACACAGGGACUCAGUAGGCUGGCCUGGAGCACCGAGCAUGACCUACGGAACCGAGCAGAAGAGAUGCACGCGGGCUCAGUAGACUCGGCCUGCAGGACCGCAUGUGACCCACGGAACCUAGCGGAAGAUAUACACCCAUGCAAGGAAACUGAGGCCUUCUCCAUCCCUCCACCACAGGGCCUCUGACCACUUCCGGUUUCACAGACUUCACUUAUAUACUUGUUUUUUUCCCCUUUCUCUCAUUUACUGGUAUUAAUUUUAGCAAUCUAUGAAUUCCCAUUUUGUCGUUUUCCGUUUGCCUGUUUCACUAAUUCAAUGAUGCACAUUCAACACUUUUAUUCUUAGUUUUUCUUUCUUAACAACAAAGGCUUUUGAAACAGUAUAUUUUUUCUUGAGGUCAGAUUUUCUCAGGGUCCUUUAGACUUCAGAACUUUUUUCCCUCUUUUUAUCAGUUUCUCUAUGGUUUUCUAUAAAUGUGUAUGUGUU